GCUCCCGCAAUCCCGGGGCCGCCUCGGUCGCGCGAACUACACUUCCCAGAGGCCCCCGCGCGCGCGCCCCCGCAGAGGCGGCUUUCGAAGGCGCGUUAGGGACCCUUGCGAAGGCCGAGCUAGGCGGCCGGUGAGGCUGGAGUGUGCGUGUGUCCAUGUAUUCCACCAACAGUCACUGUGCGCCUCCUGUGUGCAAUGGGCUUGUUGCUAGCCCAGGAAGUGGGAAAGACCCUGCUUUCGGGGAGCGAGCGUACAACCCUUUGGACGAGGCUGACUAUAAAAACGCAAACAUAUCCACAAGAUAAUGGUCCUGACUUCGGCUGUAGGAGUGACACAGCAAGGGAGUGAGGCGGCAUCAGAGGGCGGGGCACUUGCAUCUUCAUCAAAAGCCCUGUUUCCAGGUCUGUUGUUGUGUGAUCUCCAACCGCCUUUCCCUCUCUGGGUUGCUAUUUCAUCUGUACAGUGCAGGAGCUGUUUUGGCUGAUACGAAACACCGUUUUAAUUUUUUUCUACCACAACUGCUAAGCCCGGUUCAACCAGUGAAGGUGUGACCUCCGCAAAGUUCCUGGAUGUGCUCUGGACUUACCUGCCUUCCUGGUGAGCUUAUUCAUCCUUCAAGACCCAGCUAGAAGACCAAGCAUGGUUGCUCACGCCUAUAAUCCCAGCACUUUGGGAAGCUGAGGUUUCUGGGUAGCCAGCCUCCUACUGUGAACAAGGGUGGGUACCUAAAAUAUUUUUAAGUACCCUUAAAAGACCUCUAAGCAACCAUAACAAAGGUCAACAAAUGAAAGGCAAGUAUGAAUAAACAGGAACAAGAGUCUGAAGAUUGCAGUGGACUGUCUACUGGUGCAGUGCAUCACCCACAGUACCCACUGGGACAGUCUUGAGCCGGCCACCUUAGUGCCUUCCCUUCUCGGCCUUGCUGAUAGACCCUGAGGGAACCAGGACCCAAGGCAGCCAAUCUAGAGAUGUAUCAUGUGCCUUGGCAGAAAAAUAGAUGGGCUGGCUUAGGAACAUGAAAGAGGAACUCCCGCAAUUAGGAGACAAGCAGCUGGUGCAGGAAUUGAAAGAAGAGAGCUCAGAGAGUGACCACGUGAUUCUGGGAGCGUGCUUGAGUAACCAGCCGGCCUCCAGAGUGAGCCUCACUCUCUACUGCCUCUAGUCCAGGCUCUGGGCCAGUUUGUUGCACUCAUCUUGAAAACAAGCUCAGCCCUUCUUUUUUUAAAAAAAUGUUUUUGAGACAGGGUCUUGCUCUGUCACUCAGGCUGGAGUGCAGUGGUGCUAACACAGCUCACUGCAGCCUCAACUUCCUGGGUUCAAGCGAUCCUCCCACCUCAGCUUCCCAAGUAGCUGGGACCACAGGCACAUACCAACAUGUACAGCUGAUUUUUAUUUGCUUAUUUGAAAUUUUAUUUUAUGUUUUUUCUGAGAUAGGAUCACACUCUGUCACCCAGGCUGGAGUGUAGUGGCGCCAUCUCUGCUCACUGCAACCUCUGCCUGACAGAAUCAAGCAAUUAUCGUGCCUCCUGGGUGAGUAACUGGGACUUCAGCUGCUCAUGACCGAGCCUGGCUAAUGUCUGUAUUUGUAGUAGAGAUGAAGUUUUGCCAAAUUGGCCAAGCUAAUCUCAACUCUUGGUCUCAAGUAAUCCUCCCACCUCGGCCUCCCAAAGUGCUGGGAUUACAGGUGUGAGCCACCACUCCCAGCCUGUAGCCCUUCUUAAGGUGGCCUAAGCAGGACUCAAAAGAGCCCAGCUGAACCCGGGAGAACCCGGGAAUCAACAGAAGAUUUUCAGCAGGAACUACAGAGCAGUUCACCACCAUAUGAAACACAAGUGGCUUUUAGCAAGUGAGUUGUAUAAUCCACAAGGGAAAUGACGAGGCCAGACCAGUGGGGCAGAAAAUGGCCCUUUGGCCAAAGCAAGGAGAAGGGUGGCAGGCACUGGGGGAGGAUGGGGCUCACCUCCCUGGGGUGACCUCCCGCUAACCUCACCUCUACGCUUCUGUCUCUGGAGGAACGGAUGCUACAGCCUGGCCCUCAUACCCCAGGCCAACAGACAAGGGGGCUCACAGAAGGGAAGCUUGCUUCAAACUCCAAGUACCUCCAAGGUCUGGUAAGACAGCACGACCCUGGACCUUGGAAGGGAGCACAGAUGGAAACACACCCAGGCUCAGGCUUGGCCCAUCAAUAGGUGCAGAAUCCUCCAUCUUGGGUUCCCUCCGUUUAUUGAAUGAAUUGUUUCCAUUUACACUUUGGUUUUUAGCCAGAGUACGUUUUUCAUUAUGUUAAGAAUUGGUCUCAUGUAGUGAGUAAGGUCAUAGAACUUGGUGUCAGGCUGUUGGUUGGGCUUCUGGCCCUGCUACUUACUGUGUGGCCUUGACCUAAUCACUUAGCCUCUCUGUGCCUCAGUUCACUCAGCUGUAGAAUAGGAAUAAUCUGCCCCUCUCUAGUAGCAUUGUUUAUGAGAUUAAAGGAACUGUCUGUCCUGAGCCAGGGCUUGCAACAGAUCCUGUCUAUGUCAAUAUGAGCUUGACGUUUUAUUAAACACUUUCGUUUCUUUUUCUUUUUACUUUUCCUUUUUUUUUUGAGACAGUUUUGCUCUUGUCACCCAGGCCAGAGUGCAAUGGCGACAUCUCAGCUCACUGCAACCUCUGCCUCUUGGGUUCAAGCGAUUUUCCUGCCUCAGCCUCCCGAGUAGCUGGGAUUACAGGCGCCCGCCACCAUGCCCAGCUAAUUUUUGUAUUUUUAGUACAGACGGGCUUUCACCAUGAUUCCAGGCUGGUCUCAAACUCCUGACCUCAGGUGAUCCGCCCACCUCGGCCUCCCAAAGUGCUGGGAUUACAGGAGUGAGCCACCGCCCCUGGCCCUGGUGUUUCAUUUCAAAUGCUUCUGUCCCUCCCCUUUGACGGUUUUUUUGGGAGGUGUGUUUUUCAGUUGACCAGCUGGAGUUCUUAGUAACACCAGCGCCCUCCUCGGUCUGCGCUGCGCGGCCGAGGCCCGUACAACCUCCAGGGGGCGCCCGGGGCCCGCGCUCCCUCGACGCGGCGGCCCGUGGCGUCCGGGCGGGAGAACUUCGAAUCUGAGUGGUCCACCUGGAUUCAUCUUCUUGGUUCCCGAGCCUCCUCCCUCUCCCCUACCAAAGGACAGUGAACUGGAGCGGCGCUCGGCACCGGCGGCUGGACACGUGGCGCAGCCUUCGUGACAGGUCUUUUUUCGUCCCACGUUUGUAUGGGACCUUGGGCUUCCAAACCGACGUUGGGUGAUUUAUCAGCAGAUACUUUCACCGCCCACCGCAAACCUGCAGUGCCAAGUGGGCCGCUUUCCGGAGGGUCUCGGAGGACACCGCCUGCCAGCUGCCAGCAUCUGGGGGGAGAGGGAUGGGUGUUUGGGGUGGGAAAUGAAGUUCUGGUUUUGAACGUUGA